AUUCAUCUGACGAGUCUCAAACAGGACAAAACGUGUGUCCUUGAU
rfam:Schistosoma haematobium scaffold429_9, whole genome shotgun sequence.